rnacentral:lncRNA from 1 species
CGGGCAAAACAUCGAAUACUCUUUAUUGAUAUGGGAAAAACCCUACAUAAGGACUAACUGACUGUAACACGCUACUCCUUAGCAAGACUAGACCUAGACGAGAACAAUGGACUUGAGUCGACUAACACUUGUCGUACUCAAUCUGACAGACCCAACAUUUAGGCGAGCAUUUGAUCUCCGGCGUCCUCAAACUCCUUCCCUCUGCUGGAUCUCCAAUAAAAAGAACCUACAUUGGGAACACAGAAACGACAGUAAGUAGUAUCAAGUAAGCGACAGAAGGAAAGCAUGCUGAGAUCCUGCCUUACAUGAUUCAAUUCAAUGCUUAAAACGAUCGAGUCUGACUGAUAUUCAAAUCCAAUGCGAGCGAUGCAAUGGUGAGAGAAAGAGUUUGAGAACUUAGCUCCGGUUGAAGAAUCCUGAGAUGCCGUAGCGGGCGGCGAGCUGGCAUGCUCGCACGCGGCGUGGUUCCUCCUCGUCCUGGGCCUUCCUCUUCGUCGCUCCGCAAGCCAGGCUGCUGCGUGCUGGAGCUGGACGGCGUUCCAGGAUCCUGAAGAAGCGCUGGAAUUCUUCGUCGGCGAUGAAGAGGCGGUAGUUGAGGGCGCGUAGGAACAGCAACUCCAGCGGGCACAUCUCGCUGGACCGGAUGGACUGGCCCGAGCAGAUCUGGAACGAUUCCACCCGCCUCUCGAAGUACCUCGGGCUGACGAACUUGGCGCCGAUCAGGACCGCCACGGAAACCAGACGGUGCGCCGUGGCCGGCUCCACGACGAUCCCCGCCUCGAG